CAUGUAAGAAAAUUUCAGCAACCAUAUUAGAUCCAAAUUACACCGUAAUUAAAAUUUUCAGAUCUAAAACCAAUUUCAGAUCUGAAUAACUCAUGAUUUAUUUCAGAUUUGAAACGAUUUCCAAUCCAAAAUAAACAUGUAAUCACAUUACAACAUGCACAAAAAUCAGAUCUAACUUUAAUCGUUGUUCUAUAUCGUUCUAGGACAACCGUUCAGUAUAACAGGGGUUAUGUUCGGGCAACCUUAUUUCAGAAUAAUGUGAUCAUCUUAUUAACCUUCAGAUCUAAUUUUUAUAAAUCAGAUAUCAGAUCUGAGGAGGUUUCAUGUUCAUAUCAGAACCUAUGCUCUGAUACCACUGUUAGAAUACGCUACGGUUUCGUACGUGUAGUUCAAAAUUUUUUCUAGAUAUCUACGCAGCGAAAAUAAAUGAAUUAAAAUAAUUUUAAUUUAUUCACGUACCAGAUCAGAUCUGAAAAUCGUAGUAAAGAUCUUGAUACGAACAUGUAUCCACAAUCUGAUAUCUGAAAUAGAAAAACAAACUGUUAGAAAAAUAAAAUGGAGAUCGAAUUUCCAUACCUCGGAUCUUGCGAAUGUCUCGAAUUCUGAUCGUAGCCGCACACGCACCUAGCCUCUGCUGGUAUUCACAAGGAGCCGCC
rnacentral:lncRNA from 1 species